UCUCCUAGGGUUGGGGGGUGGGAGUUCACAUCUCCCACCCUUCAUCCUUGGAAAUAAUGUAGAAAGUAAUUCUUUUAAAAUGGACAUGAAAGUGAAAGUGAAGUCCGACUGCGACCCUGUGGGCUGUAGCCCACCAGACUUUUCAGUCCAUGGGAUUCUCCAGGUUUGGCCCAUGGAAGCUGACGCUUUCCACUGAAGCUCUGUGUGGAAUUUGUAUGAGGAACGAAUUCACCACUAGAGGGUGUGCAUGUACCACUUACAUUUCAAGAUGGUCCUGGUAAGAAAAAGUUGAGUAAUUAGGAAAAUAAAUGAGCGUUUUUGGA